AGAAUGAACGCUGGCGGCAUGCCUAACACAUGCAAGUCGAACGAAACCUUCGGGUUUAGUGGCGCACGGGUGCGUAACGCGUGGGAAUCUGCCCCUUGGUUCGGAAUAACAGCGAGAAAUUGCUGCUAAUACCGGAUGAUGACGUAAGUCCAAAGAUUUAUCGCCGAGGGAUGAGCCCGCGUAGGAUUAGCUAGUUGGUGUGGUAAAGGCGCACCAAGGCGACGAUCCUUAGCUGGUCUGAGAGGAUGACCAGCCACACUGGGACUGAGACACGGCCCAGACUCCUACGGGAGGCAGCAGUGGGGAAUUUUGGACAAUGGACGCAAGUCUGAUCCAGCCAUGCCGCGUGCGGGAAGAAGGCCUUCGGGUUGUAAACCGCUUUUGUCAGGGAAGAAAGCUACCGAACUAAUAUUUGGGGUGAUGACGGUACCUGAAGAAUAAGCACCGGCUAACUACGUGCCAGCAGCCGCGGUAA
rnacentral:rRNA from 1 species